GGCGGGGCUUCCAGAGAGGCCUCCAAGUAGGCCUCCCUGAAGCCUGAACUCGGCAGGCCCCAGCAAGCCAGGAAGGAGGCUGGCAGAGCUCCCUGCAGCAGACCAGACCACGCAGCACAGCUUUUGCAAGGUUUUUCUGGAGAAAUGAGAGGGACAACUAUUUUUCAUGCAUCUUAAAAUUCGUUAUCAAUGUGAUUAGCUCAUCUGAAAACUAUGAAGAAACAGAUGUUUAAAGAGAAACUCAGGGUCAAAUUUAUUUUAAAAAAAAUAGCUUCACUGAAGUCUCUCCAAAUUAAGCCAUAACUGCAUUUUUUCCAUUUGCCAAAUCUCAUCAAAGUUUCUUUUGCUCACUCUGAAGUCAUUUGCAGAACUAAUUUGCAUCAUUAACUGAAUAUUACAAAAACAAAAAAGAAUAAUUCCCUUAAUCAUUUUGCCAAAACAGGUGGAAGCUGCUUUUAUUUCAACCCCUUGUUCCUGAGAUCAAAGAUCCACAUCUGAUAAGCAAGAAUGUAGCUUUUUGCUAGUUUAAUGUUUGAAGUUUGUAAAUUUAUGCGGUAAUUUAAUCAUAAAAGAGUGUCUAAAGAUA